AGGCGGGGGAUGACUUUAUUUAAGGUGGGAUUCAGAUGGUUUGGGAUCACUUCACAUCAGAAGAGCAAUAUCAGGAUUUGCAGAACCCUACAAGGAUUUAACAAGCAAGAGCUCCGAAGAUGUAUAACUCUACAAAGUACGCAUCAGGUGCGAGAGAUCCAAAACCCAAAAUUAAGGUACCUGCUAAAGGUGCAAGAGAUGCCCCCCGAGCAUCUAGCGCAGCUCACGGUGCAAAAGAUUCCAAGCCAAAGAAACCUGCCGCAGGUGCAAGA